CUUCAGCGAACCGAGCCACAACGGCCGGUCCGCGUCCCGCUCCUGACCGUAGGUGGCCAGCAGCGCCUCCGCUUC
rfam:Streptomyces paucisporeus strain CGMCC 4.2025 genome assembly, contig: Ga0079900_125